rnacentral:misc_RNA from 1 species
AAUUCUCACAAGCUCUCUUUGCUUUGUAAUGAAGCAAUUUGAGAAGGUGGAUAUGGGCGGCUUUUGCAUGACACUUUCGGGUGUGUGUUGCAAAUCGCCUGGAAUUCAUUUGCGUGCUGCAGUUCGGCUCUUUUGUCGGUCAAUCAAGUGCAACAGAUUUUUCUAUUCACCUGACAACGGCAAUGGUAGCAGUGCUGCUCGGUAUGCAGAAUACAAUUAUACCAGCUGCAGUUCUUUUGGAGCUGCAUCUGUUUA